UGGUAUGGCUCAGUUGGUAGAGCAGUUGAUUCGUAAUCAACAGGUCGUGGGUUCGAAUCCCACUACCA
rnacentral:tRNA from 1 species